CAUUAACAAACGAACACGACCGACCCUGUUGAAAUGUGGACUGUUGGGGGGACAAUCAGUGGGCGAGGAGUGUGAUCAAGCGCCAUUGUGCACUUUUCUGCUCCUCAUUCGUUCCCCCCUCGCAGCUUAGCAAACACCCUUUAUUGAUAGACCACUAGCAAAGAACCGAAUUAAAAACAACUUUUAACAAUGGACCUCUUGGCUCUUACAACGAUGAAGAACGCAGUGAAAUGCGAAAAGUAAUGCGAUUUGCAUGAAUCUGUGAGUCAUCAAGUCUUUGAACGCACCUUGCACCGUAUGAGCAAUUAUACGGUAUACCUGUUUGAGAAUCGUAAAACCCCCUCUUCUCUUGUCUCUCGGGACAAGGCGAAGGAUGUGUCGGUUGUGUCUGCCUUGGUGGAUACUCUGAUUAAAUGGAGUAGGUUUGGAUCGGGCUGGUGGCCCGAGACACUGUGUGCUAGAGACUAGCAGUCGUUUACUCGACUGGUCUGUCUUCUCAUGGUGCGUCUCGGGUCAUUCAAAGCUGGCCUGUUCAUCUGACCCUUUAACUGCGCCAAGGUCUUGUGCCUUGGGCAACCCCAUUCUUUGAUCUCAAAUCAGGUAA
rnacentral:rRNA from 1 species